CCUACGGGUGGCUGCAGUGAGGAAUAUUGGUCAAUGGUCGGGAGACUGAACCAGCCAAGCCGCGUGAGGGAUGAAGGUACAGAGUAUCGUAAACCUCUUUUGUCAGGGAACAAAGGCGGGGACGUGUCCCCGGAUGAGUGUACCUGUAGAUAACGCAUCGGCUAACUCCGUGCCAGCAGCCGCGGUAAUACGGAGGAGGCGAGCGUUAUCGGGAUUUAUUGGGUUAAAGGGGUGCGCAGGCGGUCUGUUAAGUCAGCGGUAAAAGCCCGGGGCUCAACCCCGGCCCGACGUUGAAACUGGCAGUCUCGAGUUGGAGAGAGGUAGGCGGAAUGCGCGGUGUAGCGGUGAAAUGCAUAGAUAUCGCGCAGAACGCCGAUGGCGAAGGCAGCAUGCCGGCUCCACACUGACGCUGAGGCACGAAAGCGUGGGUAUCGAACAGGAUUAGAUACCCUUGUAGUC
rnacentral:rRNA from 1 species